rnacentral:SRP_RNA from 1 species
UCGCCGCUACGAGGCGGUUGGGAGGGGUCCCGCGCAAUGGGAAACUGCCAACCUGGUCAGGCCGGAAGGUGCAGCCAUACGUAGCGUACCAUGUGCAGCGGGGGCGCCUCUCUCAACCGUCCCGCAGCGAGC